rnacentral:rRNA from 1 species
ACUGUGCUAAGGUAGCAUAAUCAAUUGGCUAUUAAUUGUAGUCUGGAAUGAAAGAAGUAAUGAAUAGUAGCUAUAAUAAUUAGUGUUUUUUUAAUUUGUUUAUCUGGUGAAAAUACCAGUAAUUUAGAAAAAAGACGAGAAGACCCUUAGAAUUUUUAAAGAAAAGUGUAUAACAUUUUUUUAAAUAGAAAAAAUAGAUUACAUCCUAAUUUUUUGUUGGGGCGACAAGAAAACAAAAACUUAAAAGAAACUUUUCUAAUUUUAUUAAAAAAAUUUAUGAUAAUUAUGUGACGAAAUUUUUAUGAAUAACUAAAUUACCUUAGGGAUAACAGCAUAAUGAUAAUUUUAUUUAGUUUGUGA